UUUUUUCAAUGAACAACAACCAAUAAAAAUUAUUUUUACAUCUUCUCAUGCAACUUGUUUCAAGAAAAACCCACAAAACAUAUUUUAAAUCAUCAUGUUUUACUUUUUCUUAAUAAGUGUGAUUUUUGUUUUUUUUUCCUUAUAAUUUGGAACGGAUGGAGUAUCUAAUUAUUUUAUCUUAUAUAGAAAUAUCUCUUCAGGUUUUGUUAGGUCAUUAAUUAGAAAUCCUAAUUCCCCACAAAAUAAUAGUUAUGGUGUGUGGAGCCCUUUGAACUCCUCAUUACACGUUAAAAUAAAAAGUUGUAUUGAAAAACAACAAACAAAGACCUUCCAUUUUUUUAAAAACUAAACGUCUUUUCAAAAUUUGUGCAGUCGUUCAUUUCCCAUUUCAACGCGUGCCUCAAUGUUGAGAUAUCAAGUGUCAUAAAAAGUCUCUCAUUAGUUGAAAGAGUUAAGAUUGACCAACAUAUCAAGAGAUCUUAUAAACAUAUCUUAUAAACAUAAUGUCUUAAAAUUUUGGUAAAAAUGUGAUAUCAAAAUCACUUGACUUGCAUGAUUGCUCAAUAUCCAAUAUAUCAAUUCAACCUAGCAAGACUCUCCUAAAUAGCCCAACACUCACUAUCUUCCUCACUAUUGUCUUUAAGAACACUUCAUAUUUCUAUAUAUCUCUCGCUCCUUCUCCCUCCAACAACCCUUAUUAUUCUUUUAAACUUUUUCCUCGUUCCAAUGUGCAACUAUCAUAUUUCCUAAUCGUGUCUUUAGUCCCCAGGACACGCAACACAUCGAAAGGGUAAAAGAAUCUUGAAAGGCUUGGUGAUAUUGUAGAGCCAACCAUGUCAUAAAUUUAAAAUAUGGGUCUUGUUAACAAGUGUACUUUGACACUCUUUAAACAUUCCAUUCAAAAAAUUACACACUACAAUUUUUAAUGUUUUGACUUUACCCACAUUUUAAUAUGUGAAGCUCCUCUCAGUAAAUUAAAGUUAGUUGCUUUUUGUAUUGUAUUAAGGGUGUUUUGGUUUUGUAUUGUGAAUGAGAUACCUAUGGGAAUUAUUGUCUCUUGGAUUUUUUUAAAUAACAAUCCACCACUAUGAUUUUUUUUUUCCUGGUGCUGUCCAUUAGCAUUAAUCAAUGUUGAAACCGCGUCAUAUGAUAUAUCAAUGUUUUUUGUAUACAUUGUGUUAUUGUUUCGAUUUAAUGUACAGAUGUACUGUAUAAACAUAAAAAAAAUUGGACAAAAAUAUGACAUCGUACUCUCUCCACUCACAACACGAAAUUACGGAUAUCAAAGCGUGCAACAACUAUUAAAAAAACAGAUAAUGUAACUUUUGUAAGUUUUGCUAAUUUUUUUUUUGUUUAAAUAACAUUUUUCUUUAAUGUAUAUCUCUUUUUAAAUAUUAUUUUCACCUCAUAGGAUGUAAAAAAGUGUUGUAUCAAGUGGCUACUAGCCACCUUUACUGGGUUUCUCGGGCAGUGGUGGUAUCACUACAAAUAUUAAUACUGAGUUGCAAGCGAUCUUACAUAGCUUCCAGAUGGCUUGGAACAAUGGUUAUCGAUAUGUUGAGUGUGAAUCGGAUUGUCAAUUGGAUUUGAAUUUUAUUCAGGAUGAAGUUCAUACAACUCACCUUUACGCACCUGUUAUUGACCUCAUCAAGAAGUUCAUUGAUUAUCCUUGGCUCUUGUCUUUCCAUCAUUCCUUGAGGGAAGGUAAUAGUUGUGCAAGCUGGUUAGCUAAAUUAUAUUCUAUGGUGGUAAUAUUCUUAAACAACCUUUUGGUACAUUAAACACCAAUCAAAGAAAUAAAAUGAUGGAUAGAGUGCAUCUCAUGUUAGCUCUCUGAUGCUGUAGAACUGGCANNN
rnacentral:lncRNA from 1 species